ACUCUUUUAUUUAUUUUUAAAACGAAAUUAAUUUAAUUGUUUUGAUUUGUUCUUUUUUAUUCUUUAAUUGUUAUUCUUUUGAUUUCUGUUAAAUUAUGGUUCUCAGGUUUUACUUAUGGGCAUCUGACGGUUACAACUAGAAAUUGAAUAUCAAUAAGGAUUUGGAAUCGCCAUGAGUCUUACGGGUAUGGUAUUUAAUCUGAUAUGACAACAAUUAUUUUCUUUUCCUUUGUUCAUCUCAAUUUUAAAGGGCUAAUGAUCUUAAAUUCCGUCUAGCCUGUGCCCACACCCAAUGGAGACUAUAUCAAUAUCAAUUAGUCAAUUAAAUGCUUAAUGAAAACAGUUUAAGUUUUACAUUAAGAUCAAAUUGUUCAUGGUAUGAAUUUCAACCGAUCAAAAACCUGAACUUUAAUCCUAUGGACUUGAUGAUCAUAAUCCUGGUUAAUGAAAUUGAACAGAAUUCAAAUCGUUACCAGAAAAAAAUAAAACAAAUCAAGUUGAACAAUUAAAUACAGAAUAAAUCAAAUGGCUUAAUUGAAUCGGUUCAUUAUGAAAUGAUGAGAAAAGUUAAUCAGUGAAAGUGGAUAGAUGUAUCAUCUUUAACGAACCAAAUCAACCCACCAGAUAUUGACUAAAUUGGUUCAAUUUCCCACAGUUAAUUGUCUCACAAAUUCAUCUAAAUAAUUCAAAUGAUAUCAUGAAAGUACAUCAACAUGGUUAAGAGUUCAUUGGCCUACAACGGAACAAUCAAUUAAUUACAUUUUAAAGUAUCAAUAUCAUAAAAGAUGAUACAUAAAAAUGGAAUCAACAACAUGAUGAUGAUGAUGAUUUAAUCAUUAUCUAUCUAAUUUAAUUCAUGUAAAUCUAUAAUAAUAUCCUAAUAAUAUUAUUGGCAUGAUGAAUCAAUCGAUUUUGUAAUAACAUUUAAUCAACAUCAAAGGUCCCAACAUUAAUUUCAAUCAAUAA